GACGAACGCUGGCGGCGUGCUUAACACAUGCAAGUCGAACGGAAAGGCCUUUUCGGAGGUACUCGAGUGGCGAACGGGUGAGUAACACGUGGGUGAUCUGCCCUGCACUCUGGGAUAAGCCUGGGAAACUGGGUCUAAUACCGGAUAGGACCGCACUUUAGUGUGUGGUGGAAAGUUUUUUCGGUGUAGGAUGAGCCCGCGGCCUAUCAGCUUGUUGGUGGGGUAAUGGCCUACCAAGGCGGCGACGGGUAGCCGGACUGAGAGGUUGGUCGGCCACAUUGGGACUGAGAUACGGCCCAGACUCCUACGGGAGGCAGCAGUGGGGAAUAUUGCACAAUGGGCGCAAGCCUGAUGCAGCGACGCCGCGUGGGGGAUGACGGCCUUCGGGUUGUAAACUCCUUUCGCCAGGGACGAAGCGUUUUGUGACGGUACCCGGAGAAGAAGCACCGGCUAACUACGUG
rnacentral:rRNA from 1 species